CCUACGGGUGGCUGCAGUGAGGAAUAUUGGGCAAUGCCCGCAAGGGUGACCCAGCAACGCCGCGUGGAGGAUGAAGGCCGUAAGGUUGUAAACUCCUGUUAGAGGAGAAGAAUAGUACCGAUUGGAUCGGUAUUUGACUGUACCCUCAGAGAAAGCCCCGGCUAACUACGUUCCAGCAGCCGCGGUCAUACGUAGGGGGCAAGCGUUGUUGGGAUUUACUGGCGCGCAGGGGGGAGAGCAAGUCAGAGGUGAAAUCCUACAGCUUAACUGUAGAACUGCCUUUGAUACUGUGAUUCUUGAGUUCGGGAGAGAGAGACGGAAUUCCAGGUGUAGUGGUGAAAUACGUAGAUAUCUGGAAGAACACCAGUUGCGAAGGCGGUCUCUUGGUCCGAUACUGACGCUGAGGCGCGAAAGCGUGGGGAGCAAACAGGAUUAGAUACCCCUGUAGUC
rnacentral:rRNA from 1 species